CUGCUGUCCCCCAUAGUGGCAUUCCGUACGUCCAAAUUGGUUUUAUUAUCGUUUUGUAUAUUUUUAAUUUAUUUUCUAUGCUGAGUUUAUAAUUUCGACUAGUUAACCAGCACAUCUGUCUUCUUUUUAUCCGUAUUUUGUCUAUAAUUGAUUUAAUAUGUUGCUUCCUGAUAGGUAUUUAAGUUGCCUUGUUUGUGUUAUGUGCGUGCCAUUCAAUUGAAUAUUUGGUGGUUUCCAUUUUCUUAGCGUAAAUGUAAUAUGGCUGCAUUUACUGGAGUUUGUUUUUAUUUGUUUACCUUGUAGCCAUUUUU
rnacentral:misc_RNA from 1 species